rnacentral:rRNA from 1 species
CCUACGGGAGGCUGCAGUGGGGGAUCUUGCACAAUGGGGGGAACCCUGAUGCAGCGACGCCGCGUGGGUGAAGGAGUGCUUCGGCAUGUAAAGCCCUAUCGGCAGGGAAGAAGCAAGACGGUACCUGACUUAGAAGCACCGGCUAACUACGUGCCAGCAGCCGCGGUAAUACGUAGGGGGCGAGCGUUAUCCGUAUGCACUGGGCGUAAAGUGAGCGUAGGCGGUCAUGCACGCCAGGGGUGAAAGCCCGGGGCUGAACCCCGGGACUGCCCUUGGAACUGAAUGGCUGGAGGGCGGGAGGGGAAGGUGGAAUUCCCGGUGUAGCGGUGAAAUGCGUAGAUAUCAGGAGGAACACCGGCGGCGAAGGCGGCCUGCUGGACCGCGACUGACGUUGAGGCUCGAAAGCGUGGGGAGCGAACAGGAUUAGAUACCCGUGUAGUC